rnacentral:rRNA from 1 species
UGGCUCAGAACGAACGCUGGCGGCAGGCUUAACACAUGCAAGUCGAGCGGGCGUAGCAAUAUGUCAGCGGCAGACGGGUGAGUAACGCGUGGGAACGUACCUUUUGGUUCGGAACAACACAGGGAAACUUGUGCUAAUACCGGAUAAGCCCUUACGGGGAAAGAUUUAUCGCCGAAAGAUCGGCCCGCGUCUGAUUAGCUAGUUGGUGAGGUAUUUUCUCACCAAGGGGGGGAACAGUAGCUGGUCUGAGAGGAUGAUCAGCCACAUU